ACGCUUUCUUUGGCAGCACGUAUACUAAAAAUUGGGAUGAUACAGAGACAAUUAGCAUGGCCCUUUCUCAAGGAUGAUAUACAAAUUUGUGAAGCAUGCCAUAUUUAA
ensembl:snRNA U6 U6 spliceosomal RNA